rnacentral:rRNA from 1 species
UACGUAGGGCGCAAGCGUUGUCCGGAAUUAUUGGGCGUAAAGAACUCGUAGGCGGCCUGUUGCGUCCGCUGUGAAAUCCCGGGGCUCAACCCCGGGCCUGCAGUGGAUACGGGCUGGCUAGAGGCAGGCAGGGGAGAACGGAAUUCCUGGUGUAGCGGUGAAAUGCGCAGAUAUCAGGAGGAACACCGGUGGCGAAGGCGGUUCUCUGGGCCUGUACUGACGCUGAGACGCGAAAGCGUGGGGAGGCGAACAGG